rnacentral:rRNA from 1 species
UACGGGAGGCAGCAGUGGGGAAUAUUGCACAAUGGGCGCAAGCCUGAUGCAGCCAUGCCGCGUGUAUGAAGAAGGCCUUCAGGUUGUAAAGUACUUUCAGUCGUGAGGAAGGUGUUAAGGUUAAUAACCUUAGCAAUUGACGUUAGCGACAGAAGAAGCACCGGCUAACUCCGUGCCAGCAGCCGCGGUAAUACGGAGGGUGCGAGCGUUAAUCGGAAUUACUGGGCGUAAAGGGCACGCAGGCGGUUAAUUAAGUUGGAUGUGAAAUCCCCGGGCUUAACCUGGGAAUGGCAUUCAAGACUGGUUAGCUAGAGUCUUGUAGAGGGGGUAGAAUUCCAUGUGUAGCGGUGAAAUGCGUAGAGAUGUGGAGGAAUACCGGGUGGCGAAGGCGGCCCCUGGGACAAAGACUGACGCUCAUGUGCGAAAGCGUGGGGAGCAAACAGGGAUUAGAUACC